AGAGUUUCCAAAAGCAUAUCCCAACAGGACUAACUGCCCGAGCCUGAGACACAAGAUGCCAGCUGCAGGAAGAAGUGGGCUAGCUGUUGACUCCUAAAUACCUGGAAGAGCAACUCCUUUCUCCAAAAGAUAUUUGAAAUAGCCAGAAGAGAAAUAGAGAUAAUACAGCAGGAAAUAAAAUUCAAUGUGGAAAAUACAUUUCAAGAGGAGAAUAAAGGUAAGAAAAUCAAAAUAUACAGUAUAUG
rnacentral:lncRNA from 1 species